rnacentral:pre_miRNA from 1 species
AGUUUAGGGCGAUUGUCGGCUUAGUCUCUGUUAGUUUAUCGUUUCGAGUGACUAGACCGAACACUCGAUCCUAAGCUUAU